CCUACGGGUGGCAGCAGUGGGGAAUAUUGCACAAUGGGCGCAAGCCUGAUGCAGCCAUGCCGCGUGUGUGAAGAAGGCCUUCGGAUUGUAAAGCACUUUCAGCGGGGAGGAAGGCGGUGAGGUUAAUAACCUCAUCGAUUGACGUUACCCGCAGAAGAAGCACCGGCUAACUCCGUGCCAGCAGCCGCGGUAAUACGGAGGGUGCAAGCGUUAAUCGGAAUUACUGGGCGUAAAGCGCACGCAGGCGGUCUGUCAAGUCGGAUGUGAAAUCCCCGGGCUCAACCUGGGAACUGCAUUCGAAACUGGCAGGGUAGAGUCUUGUAGAGGGGGGUAGAAUUCCAGGUGUAGCGGUGAAAUGCGUAGAGAUCUGGAGGAAUACCGGUGGCGAAGGCGGCCCCCUGGACAAAGACUGACGCUCAGGUGCGAAAGCGUGGGGAGCAAACAGGAUUAGAUACCCCUGUAGUC
rnacentral:rRNA from 1 species